GGGCAGGACUGCGCGUGUGCCGGUCCCAGCGGCUGUACCAUCAAUUAGCCAGGAGGAGUGGACAGAAAGUGCUCUCAUGUCUCUCAGUGUUCAUCAGGGUCUCAAGAGGAAGCAUCAUCUUCCAGUGUGAGAAGAGCACUGUGGAACCAGUGGAAAUUCUGAUGUUCUGUUUAUGAUGCUGUUCCUGCACUUGCAAGGCACAGUCUUUCUUUAAAAGAGGGAAAUGGAAAGUGUUACAAAUGGAGAAGCACAGCCCCUUUGAAGUGCCCUUGAGGGUGGCAUACAGUCUGGUAUAACCAAAGAAAGAUGGAGUGCAAAUCGAAUUGGGAUGCCAGAUCCUUUUCUGCCUCCUGGCCAGUAGGGCUGAAAUUCCUCCUUAUGUCUGGGAAAAGUGGGAAACCUGGCUGACUGCCAGCCUGCAGAUUAGGGCUGCUGAGAUGCUGUCAGCAGCAGUCUUGAUGGAUUCCCUUGUGGAGGUGCUGCUCCUUGGCCCUUCUAAUGCAGUCCUGUGCCUAAAGGUACAAAAAGAGGCUGGGGAGAUGGGAAGGAAACACAUUAAUUUUAAAUAG
rnacentral:lncRNA from 1 species